AAACCGGAGCUAAUACCGGAUAAUAUUUUGAACCGCAUGGUUCAAAAGUGAAAGACGGUCUUGCUGUCACUUAUAGAUGGAUCCGCGCUGCAUUAGCUAGUUGGUAAGGUAACGGCUUACCAAGGCAACGAUGCAUAGCCGACCUGAGAGGGUGAUCGGCCACACUGGAACUGAGACACGGUCCAGACUCCUACGGGAGGCAGCAGUAGGGAAUCUUCCGCAAUGGGCGAAAGCCUGACGGAGCAACGCCGCGUGAGUGAUGAAGGUCUUCGGAUCGUAAAACUCUGUUAUUAGGGAAGAACAUAUGUGUAAGUAACUGUGCACAUCUUGACGGUACCUAAUCAGAAAGCCACGGCUAACUACGUGCCAGCAGCCGCGGUAAUACGUAGGUGGCAAGCGUUAUCCGGAAUUAUUGGGCGUAAAGCGCGCGUAGGCGGUUUUUUAAGUCUGAUGUGAAAGCCCACGGCUCAACCGUGGAGGGUCAUUGGAAACUGGAAAACUUGAGUGCAGAAGAGGAAAGUGGAAUUCCAUGUGUAGCGGUGAAAUGCGCAGAGAUAUGGAGGAACACCAGUGGCGAAGGCGACUUUCUGGUCUGUAACUGACGCUGAUGUGCGAAAGCGUGGGGAUCAAACAGGAUUAGAUACCCUGGUAGUCCACGCCGUAAACGA
rnacentral:rRNA from 1 species